rnacentral:rRNA from 1 species
GACGAACGCUGGCGGCGUGCCUAAUACAUGCAAGUUGAGCGCUGAAGGUUGGUACUUGUACCAACUGGAUGAGCAGCGAACGGGUGAGUAACGCGUGGGGAAUCUGCCUUUGAGCGGGGGACAACAUUUGGAAACGAAUGCUAAUACCGCAUAAAAACUUUAAACACAAGUUUUAAGUUUGAAAGAUGCAAUUGCAUCACUCAAAGAUGAUCCCGCGUUGUAUUAGCUAGUUGGUGAGGUAAAGGCUCACCAAGGCGAUGAUACAUAGCCGACCUGAGAGGGUGAUCGGCCACAUUGGGACUGAGACACGGCCCAAACUCCUACGGGAGGCAGCAGUAGGGAAGCUUCGGCAAUGGACGAAAGUCUGACCGAGCAACGCCGCGUGAGUGAAGAAGGGUUUCGGAUCGUAAAACUCUGUUGGUAGAGAAGAACGUUGGUGAGAGUGGAAAGCUCAUCAAGUGACGGUAACUACACAGAAAGGGACGGCUAACUACGUG